UAUUGUCUUGUGUGUGUGAAAGUGUAUGCGUCAUGUGUCACUGACGAUCUGACCAGGCUCUCCAGUCAGGAAUUUUGCAAAAUUGAUCUUCCAAGAGUGCCAUAAAAAGUGGUAUUUAUGAAUACAUUGCUGUUCAUAUAUCAACUUUUGAGGGUUGAUUCUCUUCUCUGUUUGUAGUAGUAUAUUACCUGCUCAAGACAGCUAUUCAUGUGCCUUAAUAAUAUGUUGUAUGGCUGUUAUAAUACUUCAUUGAUAUACAAUGGUUUAGCUUUGAUAGUGAAAUUUUCACACAUAGAAUCUAGAUAUGCAAACACCUUAAUUUUGAAACCUAACAGUUAAGUAAAUCAUUCAUACCCCUUUUAAAUUACUUUUUUUUUAAAUUUAUUUAUUUAUUUAUUUAUUUUUAUUUUUAUUUUUAUUUUUCUUUUUUCCCCCAACAUUUUUCAUAACUCAUGAAUGAAAGGUGGAUUGAUUGAAUCAAGGCCUUUGUUUUAUAGUUCUAGAUGUAAACUUUGAUUAUUAUGUCACAUUUAAAAAAAGUUUUGGGCCAAAUCAAUUUUUCACAUACGUAAGAAAUUAUAAAACUUGGUAAGGGUAUGAAUAAUUUAGCUGUUAUCCGUAAAUUGCCCUUGUCCUACAGUUAUUUGAACUCGUGUAGAGGUUCAUAAGCCAGAUACACAGGGGAGACUUGGUGCAUGUAGGCCUACCUAUAUUGUAUGUUCAGAGCCAGAUACACAGGGGAGACUUGGUGCAUGUAGGCCUACCUAUAUUGUAUGUUCAGAGCCAGAUACACAGGGGAGACUUGGUGCAUGUAGGCCUACCUAUAUUGUAUGUUCAGAGUCAGAUACACAGGGGAGACUUGGUGCAUGUAGGCCUACCUAUAUUGUAUGUUCAGAGCCAGAAGAGCGUUAAACUUUGUGUUAAAAGUAUAUGAGUUAAUUUCAUUUAUUUAUUUUCCACAUUCCAGUUAAAAAGCAUGCAAAUUUAAAAAUGAUGUACAUUAUAAAACGCAGAGGAACACAUUCAUAAAGAAACAAACAUACUCACACAAAUAAGUUAAAGCACUUGUGCUUGUAGCUCCAAACAGAUGAUAUAUGCAGACUAUAAAAUCUUGAGUUUAUUUUUAUCUGACACAUACCAUGAAGGUAUAUUCAAUAAUUGCUGCAGAAAUUGUAAGGAAUAACAAUGAAUAUUGGUAAUGAUGACAGCCAACUUGUUUUACCUUGAUAAUUUUCAAAUGUACAUGUAUAUGGGUUCAUUCAAUACAAAAGAAUAAAAGUGAUUAGUAAUUGUUGAAAUUCAACUACAGUGUCAUUAUCUGCAGUAGUACAGACCCUUUCAGUUCCAAGGACAUUAAAUCUUGCCAAAGAUUGACUCUUUUAAGAUAUGAAUUUGGUUAAGGUAUCUAAGAAUACUCUGGUUUAGAUUCAUACAGGCAGACUAAAUUCUUUGUUCAACCUUAGCUUCACUUUAGUUCAAUUAUUAUGGCUCACCAAGUGUCAAAUUCUUGUUUAUUUUUUUGUUAACUGAAAGUAAUUUUGUAAUAGACAUUUAAAUAAAAUGAAUUAUAGAAAAUACUA
rnacentral:lncRNA from 1 species